UGUGGGAUUUCUUCUUUUCUGUUUGUCCUUACAAUAUAUUUAUUUCUAAACUUCUGCCACCUCCAGAAUGAUCAGAGUGUGCUCCGUUGUGUGGAUUUCUGCUUCAUCUGGCCAGAGGAUCAAGGGCAGAUUGUGAAGAACUCCAUUAAUUGCAAUUUUAUCUUUCUUCUAUUGUCUGCUAUGAAAUCUCAGCCAAGGCCUUUCAGCCUGUGGUGAAUCAAAAUAACUUUGCCUUCC
rnacentral:lncRNA from 1 species